UCUCAAGUCCAGUCCUGGAGGCCCACUGUGGGCCUCGAGGACUGGACUUGAGAACC
rnacentral:miRNA from 1 species